CGCAGCGCUGCCGCCGCCGCCUCCCGCCGCUCCCGGCUGCCAUUUUAAGGUGAACAAAGCGGAGGAGGCGGCGGCAGAUCUGCUUACGGCGGCACCCUCGGGGCGGGGGGCGGGCCCCGGGCUCCGCCACCAUGUUCAGCAAGAAGCCCUACGACAGCCCC